rnacentral:rRNA from 1 species
CGGACGGGUGAGUAAUGUCUGGGAAACUGCCCGAUGAGGGGGAGUAACUACUGGAAACGGUAGCAAUACCGCAUAACGUCGCAAGACCAAAGAGGGGGACCUUCGGGCCUCUUGCCAUCGGAUGUGCCCAGAUGGGAUUAGCUAGUAGGUGGGGUAACGGCUCACCUAGGCGACGAUCCCUAGCUGGUCUGAGAGGAUGACCAGCCACACUGGAACUGAGACACGGCCCAG